AGUUGUCUGUAGCUGAUAGGGUUAGGGUUAGGUGUAGUCUGGUAUAGUUGUCUGUAGUUGAUAGGGUUAGGUGUAGUCUGGUAUAGUUGUCUGUAGUUGAUAGGGUUAGGUGUAGUCUGGUAUAGUUGUCUGUAGUUG